GAUGAACGCUGGCUACAGGCUUAACACAUGCAAGUCGAGGGGAAACGACGGGGAAGCUUGCUUCCCCGGGCGUCGACCGGCGCACGGGUGAGUAACGCGUAUCCAACCUGCCUCUGACUGAGGGAUAACCCGUCGAAAGUCGGCCUAAUACCUCAUGGCAUCGUCUGCGGGCAUCCAACGACGAUUAAAGAUUUCAUCGGUCAGGGAUGGGGAUGCGUCUGAUUAGUUAGUUGGCGGGGUAACGGCCCACCAAGGCGACGAUCAGUAGGGGUUCUGAGAGGAAGGUCCCCCACAUUGGAACUGAGACACGGUCCAAACUCCUACGGGAGGCAGCAGUGAGGAAUAUUGGUCAAUGGGCGAGAGCCUGAACCAGCCAAGUAGCGUGCAGGAAGACGGCCCUAUGGGUUGUAAACUGCUUUUAUGCGGGGAUAAAGUGAGGGACGUGUCCUUCAUUGCAGGUACCGCAUGAAUAAGGACCGGCUAAUUCCGUGCCAGCAGCCGCGGUAAUACGGAAGGUCCGGGCGUUAUCCGGAUUUAUUGGGUUUAAAGGGAGCGUAGGCCGUGGAUUAAGCGUGUUGUGAAAUGCAGGUGCUCAACGUCUGCACUGCAGCGCGAACUGGUUCACUUGAGUGUGCACAACGCAUGCGGAAUUCGUCGUGUAGCGGUGAAAUGCUUAGAUAUGACGAAGAACUCCGAUUGCGAAGGCAGCUUGCGGGAGCACAACUGACGCUGAAGCUCGAAAGUGCGGGUAUCGAACAGG
rnacentral:rRNA from 1 species